rnacentral:rRNA from 1 species
UCCGAAUUGUAAUUUGUAGAAGAUGCUUCGGGUGUGGCUCCGGUCUAAGUUCCUUGGAACAGGACGUCAUAGAGGGUGAGAAUCCCGUAUGUGACUGGCUGCCUUCGCCUAUGUGAAGCUCUUUCGACGAGUCGAGUUGUUUGGGAAUGCAGCUCAAAAUGGGUGGUAAAUUUCAUCUAAAGCUAAAUAUUGGCCAGAGACCGAUAGCGCACAAGUAGAGUGAUCGAAAGAUGAAAAGCACUUUGGAAAGAGAGUUAAACAGUACGUGAAAUUGUUGAAAGGGAAGCGCUUGCAACCAGACUUGCACUUGGUCGAUCAUCCGAGGUUCUCCCCGGUGCACUCGAUCUCGUUCAGGCCAGCAUCGGUUCAGGUGGUGGGAUAAAGGCCUUGGGAAUGUAGCUUCUUUCGGGGAGUGUUAUAGCCCUCGGUGCAAUGCCGCCUACCUGGACCGAGGACCGCGCUUCGGCUAGGAUGCUGGCGUAAUGGUUGUAAGCGACCCGUCUUGAAACACGGACCAAGGAGUCUAACAUCUAUGCGAGUGUUUGGGUGUCAAACCCAUACGCGUAAUGAAAGUGAACGGAGGUGAGAACCCUUAAGGGUGCAUCAUCGACCGAUCCUGAUGUCUUCGGAUGGAUUUGAGUAAGAGCAUAGCUGUUGGGACCCGAAAGAUGGUGAACUAUGCCUGAAUAGGGUGAAGCCAGAGGAAACUCUGGUGGAGGCUCGCAGCGGUUCUGACGUGCAAAUCGAUCGUCAAAUUUGGGUAUAGG